AGAGUUUGAUCCUGGCUCAGGAUGAACGCUGGCGGCGUGCCUAAUACAUGCAAGUCGAGCGGAAAGGCCUCUUCGGAGGUACUCGAGCGGCGGACGGCAGAGUAACGCGUAGGAACAUACCCCAAACUGAGGGAUAACUGCCCGAAAGGGUGGCUAAUACCGCAUGUGAUCUUCGGAUUAAAGCUUCGGCGGUUUGGGAAUGGCCUGCGUUCGAUUAGCUAGUUGGUGAGGUAAAGGCUCACCAAGGCGACGAUCGAUAACUGGUCUGAGAGGAUGAUCAGUCUGACUGGAACUGAGACACGGUCCAGACUCCUACGGGAGGCAGCAGUAGGGAAUUUUCCACAAUGGGCGAAAGCCUGAUGGAGCAACGCCGCGUGCAGGAUGAAGGCCCUUGGGUCGUAAACUGCUUUUAUGUGAGAAGAAUAUGACGGUAACACAUGAAUAAGGGUCGGCUAACUACGUG
rnacentral:rRNA from 1 species